UUGCAACGGCGAAUUGGUGACGAGUGAUGAAUGAUGAGAGUCCACUGAGAGGUGCACAUUUAAAUUUUGUGUUGUGAAUAGUUUCGUGCACAACUAACUAAUUAAGACAAACACUCUUCUCGUGAACUGUGGUUUCCCAUCAAUGCUUAUUUUAUUUAUCUAUUUGUGGGAAGUUUCAUUUAUAUGGAUUUCAAGAUUAUACUUUUAAAUUAUGGGGAAAUAUAU